rnacentral:rRNA from 1 species
UACGUAGGGUGCAAGCGUUAAUCGGAAUUACUGGGCGUAAAGCGUGCGCAGGCGGUGAUGUAAGACAGAUGUGAAAUCUCCGGGCUUAACUCGGAACGGUCAACUGAUACUGCUCGACUAGAGUGCGGAAGGGGCAACUGGGAAUUCUUGGUGUAGCGGUGAAAUGCGUAGAUAUCAAGAGGAACACCUGCGGCGAAGGCGGGUUGCUGGGCCGACACUGACCGCUGGAGUGCGGCGAAAGCCCAGGGGAGCGAACGGG